rnacentral:lncRNA from 1 species
AUGCUUUAACAUAAAAUUCACACAGAUGCUGUGCGACAACGACCACUUUUUUUAUGACGAAAUAAUUACCCCCGUCCUAGUUAUUUUGUGAAAUGUGACCAACGUUGACCUUGUUCAUUGCAGAAAUUGUGGAAAGUGUUGAUAUCUUCGACGUUGAAAAUGGUGAAUACCAUUUCGUCAAUGGCGGAGAAGUGCACACAUCGAAUUGUGUAGCCGAAAACGGACUCCCUGCUGCUUCCAUUGAAUGGUAUAAGGAUGAAGAACUUAUGGGGAAUGGCAAUCAGACUGUAUUCGAAAACAUGGACGGCACUUUUACCACACACAGUGAACUUACCUUCGUACCUACAUCCGAACACGAUGGUGUUGUAGUGAAAUGUCAGUCGAACCAAGAACCAGAAAUUAUGGAUACAUACCUUGACGACUAUUUCAUCUUACUUGUCGGUGGCGCUGGUACUAUUAAGCUUAGUGCAGUUCUUUUAUUGGUAUCAGUGUUAUUCUCAACUCUCUGAAGUGUAAGAGGUGCUGCCACACACAACACAACUCGGCAGAUAUUAUUAUUCGUCAUCGUAUCAGAUGUUUUACUACUUUUUGAUGUCAACUCAUGAUUCUCCGAGUCGCAUAGCAACGCAUCGCCUUUGAAUGUGAACAAUAAUUCAGCAGAAAUAAUGAUAAUAUUAGUAAUUUUAAUAAUGUUAACUCUCCGAUUAUAAUUCGACACAUUCGUCGUUACUACUAAGAUCACUCUGAAUAAAAAGUAUAUGUUUUUUAUAUUAAUUUCUUUUAGGGAGGGCAGUCUUAGUCAUAUACAUUGCGUAAAGUAUAUUGCUCCAAAUUAUUUGGCCAAAACAUCUUUUUUUUUAUUACAGAAAAUAAUUCCCGUGAAUCUUUGGACAGUCAAUUUAAACAGACCUUGUCAUUUAUUAAAUCUGAUGCCGCAUAUUUCACUCUCCAAACAUCGCUCUCUGAAGCCUAUCAACAUUACGCAACGUUGAGAAAUCAGGUCGCCUACUAAUGAAAUUGACAUAGCAAAUAUUGCUGAGAAACCGGGAAUAUCCGAGUAAGAACAUGAAUACAUCACGUGAUCAAAAUAGCCGUUCUAUUAUCAUGUUCGCUUUCAAUAUUAAAAAAAACCACCAUUAAUGCGUAGCUUAGUUUUAGCUUUAUGUUUUUACAUUUUCCCAAUAUUAUCUUUACUAGAGUAAGUCUGUAAUAUUCAAUUCCAUUUUAUGACCUUAAUAGAAAAUUUGAUAUCAUUGAUGUGCCCUCUAAGGGAAAUUGUUUCGUGGUUUUGUAAAUUGACUGCACAAACAAAAAUGUCGUGGCCCCUAAUUGCAUUCGUUUUCACAAUUAUUUUAUUAAUGAAAUGUGAAUUUCAUUUCACCGAAUCAAAAUUUCCAUACGUGUUUUCGAAGAUCAGUGAAUUAGCAUAAUUAGUUGCGUCACGGUUUUUUUUUGUGCGUCAGUGGCGCAUCAUUUGGCCUUAGAGACAAACUGUUUUCCAUCGUCAAUAUAUGGUGGCGGCUUGGCGGCCAGUUUACCGAAAUCAAAUUAAAACGCCAUAGACGCCAUGCUCAAUAUGGGUUCCAUGCGACCGUUUACCCUGAAUAAAAGCGAUAUUUCUAAA